CUACGUGCCAGCAGCCGCGGUAAUACGGAAGGUCCAGGCGUUAUCCGGAUUUAUUGGGUUUAAAGGGAGCGUAGGCUGGAUAUUAAGUGUGUUGUGAAAUGUAGACGCUCAACGUCYUGACUUGCAGCGCAUACUGGUUUCCUUGAGUACGCACAACGCAGGCGGAAUUCGUCGUGUAGCGGUGAAAUGCUUAGAUAUGACGAAGAACUCCUAUUGCGAAGGCAGCUUGCGGGAGCGUUACUGACGCUGAAGCUCGAAAGUGCGGGUAUCGAACAGGAUUAGAUACCCUGGUAGUCCGCACGGUAAACAAUGGAUGCCCGUUUUUGGCUUGUUUUAAGCCAGAGACCAAGCGAAAGCAUUAAGCAUCCCACCUGGGGAGUACGCCGGCAACGGUGAAACUCAAAGGAAUUGACGGGGGCCCGCACAAGCGGAGGAACAUGUGGUUUAAUUCGAUGAUACGCGAGGAACCUUACCCGGGCUUGAAUUGCAGAGGAAGGAUUUAGAGAU
rnacentral:rRNA from 1 species